UCCAGACUCCUACGGGAGGCAGCAGUGGGGAAUAUUGCACAAUGGGGGAAACCCUGAUGCAGCAACGCCGCGUGAGUGAAGAAGUCAUUCGUGAUGUAAAGCUCUAUCAGCAGGGAAGAAAAUGACGGUACCUGACUAAGAAGCCCCGGCUAACUACGUGCCAGCAGCCGCGGUAAUACGUAGGGGGCAAGCGUUAUCCGGAUUUACUGGGUGUAAAGGGAGCGUAGGCGGUAAUGCAAGUCAGAAGUGAAAGCCCGGGGCUCAACUCCGGGACUGCUUUUGAAACUGUGUUACUAGAUUGCAGGAGAGGUAAGUGGAAUUCCUAGUGUAGCGGUGAAAUGCGUAGAUAUUAGGAGGAACACCAGUGGCGAAGGCGGCUUACUGGACUGUAAAUGACGCUGAGGCUCGAAAGCGUGGGGAGCAAACAGGAUUAGAUACCCUUGUA
rnacentral:rRNA from 1 species